AAACUCUGGUGCUCUAUGUCUACUUGGAACCACAUCAAUCCAUCCCGAACUUGAUGGUGAAAGGAGUAGAAAGUUGUUAUACUAGUCGGAAGUCUGGCUGGAAACAGCAACUUAGUGCCAGGGUG
rnacentral:rRNA from 1 species